GACGACGCUGGCGGCGUGGAUUAGGCAUGCAAGUCGAACGGUAUCAUCCUUUCGGGGAUGAGAGAGUGGCGAACGGGUGAGUAACACGUAGGUGAUCUACCCUCAAGACGGGGACAACCCAGGGAAACUUGGGCUAAUACCGGAUGUGAGCUAUCGUGAGAUAGUUUGAAAGGUGGCUUCGGCUGCCGCUUGAGGAUGAGCCUGCGUCCUAUUAGCUAGUUGGUGAGGUAACGGCUCACCGAGGCAGUGAUAGGUAGGCGGCCUUAACGGGUGGUCGCCCACACUGGGAUUGAGAUACGGCCCAGACUCCUACGGGAGGCAGCAGUCGAGAAUAGUCUACAAUGGUCGAAAGACUGAUAGUGCGACGCCGCGUGAACGAAGAAGCCCUUCGGGGUGUAAAGUUCUUUUAUAUGUGAGCAGUGACAUCUAUAUUAAUAGUAUGGGUGUAGAGAUAUUAGCAUAUGAAUAAGCAACGGCUAACUCCGUG
rnacentral:rRNA from 1 species